GUAAAAAGGCUCUCGUAUUCCGGGUCGACGUGCGGGGAAUCCACCCCUAGAUCAUGCGAAUAGUGAAGCCGGUUAGUUGCCCCCAAGUAUUGUAACAAUUGAAUUCAUGCGCGUUUCUUCAUUCCCCCCCCCUGCGAUUUCGUUUCAUGGAAAUGGGUGUGAAUCGAAACAAGAACGAGAGUGCGGAAGAACGCUGCUUCAAGUUCUCAGCUUACUGAGUGAACAGGCUGGUGCGGAAGAACACUGCUCGUGCCCUUAUCACUCUGAAGCGUAUUCGAAUCAAACCCAGAAGGAAUAAACGGAGUGCGCAAAAGUGUCAAAGAAAACAUUUGAUUUAAAAGUUCACAUAUAUAUAUAUAUAUAUAUAUAUAUAUAUAUUGUUAAAGUGAAAAUUAUUACAGGUGUUUGACAUAAGAAUACGAGAGUCUUGGCGUUUGUAAAAUAAAAGUCACGGUUUGAGUUUUACCUUAAGUUUUAACGAAGUAAUCGCCCGGUUAAGCUAUACCCAAGACUACUAAACGAAACGCACUAUCGAAAAAUGAUACUUAUACUUAUUACUUAUUACUUAUUACUUAUUACUGAGCUCCCUGGACUUCUGCAGGCCCUUUUAUAUUGUGGACGAAGAGGCGGGUGGUUGAAAAUAUCGAUGGUGGGACUGAUUUUCCACCAAUAAUGUUUAGGAAAAUCGGGCCCGCGUCUUCGUUUCAACGGUUAUCUCGAUUCUAUGGAGGGAGGUCCUUCGCGUAAACAUCCCCGUACAGAACCUUAAUACCUGAGUUAAUUAAUUACGUUGUUCGCCUUAUGAUUACAAUAUUUCCCUCUCGAUAUUAAUGUCCUGAUUGCAAAAUGGAUCUUCUAGGAUUUUGAAUGGUUGUUGUAUCUGUUUUUAAUCAAAAGAUAUGUAUAUGAAAAGAAAUAAUGCUUGUUUUAAAAGCUGCAAUCGUAUUAAAUUCCGUCUAUAUGAUCAUUUGCGUUCAAGAAAAUAAUAAUAUAAAAUUUCCUAAAUUAUAAAAUAACUAUAUAUAUAAUAUGAUAUAAUAUAGUUUUUGAAGGUUUUCGAAAGUGCUAGAAGGUUCUAGAAAGAUGCUGGUAUGCGCGGAUGUUUACACAUUUUAUUGCCAGGCUCGCGAUAGCGCUCGCUACGGCUAGCAGGCUUGACUGCCGGAGCCUUCGAAGAUCGUUCGAGAACCUUAUAUCGUAACAGUAUAUACAUUCAUCCGUACAUACAUACAUACAUACAUUUAUACCGUUGCUGUAUCCUUUUUCAGAUCAUAGAUCCAAUAAAUAUUGACAUCGAGGGAUAUGUAAACAUCCAACAGAGGAGAUGGAUUAGGUGGGUGCGCAAGGAGAGGAAGCAGUACGCCAAUUACUUUAAUAACAUGUUGGAAGAAUUCCUCGAGGGUGAGGACAUAUUCGACCUAAGAAAGCUGUUCGGGAUGGAGGAGUGGGAGCAGGAGGAGGAAUGAGUGGAAUGGUUGGAACAAAAUUGGGAUGGUGACAUCGAUGCUAUAUUGAAGACACUGGGGGAGGAAGUACAAUCAGGAUUGAGGAUCGAGGAGGAGGAGGAGGAUGAUGAUAUAAAAAUUGUAUUUGAGAGAAAGAGGCUUCGGAGGGACGACGACGAUGACGAGGAUGUCGUAUUCCUCUGUGAACGCAAACGCGUGAGGUUUGCUGAGGAAGACGACGAGGAGAGUGACAAGGAGAGCGAAGAGGAGAGCGAGGAAAGUGACGAGGAGGACGAGGAGGAUGAA